rnacentral:rRNA from 1 species
CCUACGGGUGGCAGCAGUGGGGAAUAUUGCACAAUGGGGGAAACCCUGAUCCAGCGAUGCCGCGUGAAUGAAGAAGGAUCUCGGUAUGUAAAGCUCCUUCAGUAGGGAGGAAAAUGAAGAUACGUGAUUAUGACGCCACGGCGAACUACGUGCAAGAAGGCGCGGCAACACGCAGGGGGCAAGCGUUAUCCGGAUUAACUGAGUGUAAAGGGGGCGUAGACGGUAGCACAAGUCUGUAGUGAAAGGCCGGGGCUUAACCCCGGAACUGCUGUUGAAACUGUGCAGCUAGAGUGCAGGAGAGGUAAGUGGAAUGCCUAGUGUAGCGGUGAAAUGCGUAGAUAUUAGGAGGAACACCGAUGGCGAAGGCAGCUUACUGGGCUCGAUCUGACGUUGAGGCACGAAAGCGUGGGGAGCAAACAGGAUUAGAUACCCGAGUAGUC